GGUGAGCUGGGCGCAGGCGUGCUUCCCCUGCGCGCGGGAGAGUUGUGUGUUCGAGUCCCUGGGUCCCUUUCUGGGGGUUCUUGGUGCUGUGCUAUCUGCGUGUGAUUCUCUAGCGAGAGAUUGUGCGCGAGUGACCGAGUGGGCAAGGGGCUGUCACUGUGUGUGCGUGAUUGUUGUGACGGUGUGUGGUGGUCACUUCGACUCCGCGUGGGUCGCUGACUGUGUGACUGGUACCGUUUAGCGGUGGAUACACAAUUGUGUGCCGCUGUGGAAGAUUCCCUCAUCCAUUAAGUUCCCAUUUCCGUGAAACAGCAGUUUUACCAGGUUUGGAAGGAGCCUUAAAAGUUUGGAAGCGUAAGUUUAUCUGGCGGCUUUGGUGCCAUCACGUGUGAGAAGCCCAGGACUUUACACAUCCCCAGCCAGUGUGGUCCAAUAUGAUGGGGAGUCCGAGUGCCAGAUGCCGACCAGGACCUGUUAUUCUGGGUCUCAGAAUGAGGAAGCCCUCCCUGUCCGAGAUGGAACAGUUCGUCCUUGAGUCAGGCCCGGAGUCCUGAGUUACUGUCUUCUGAUUUGAUCCUGUUUCCCUCAGACCUGAGAUGGGGGUCUCACUGUAUUGCCCAGGCUGGUCUUGAAUUCCUGAGCUCAAGUGAUCAGCUUG